GACGAACCGUGCGAACGUUGUUCGGAAUCACUGGGCUUAAAGGGCGCGUAGGCGGGUUCGCAAGUCUGUGGUGAAAGCCUCCAGCUUAACUGGAGAAGUGCCAUGGAUACUGCGCAUCUUGAGGAGGGUAGGGGCGUCUGGAACGGUCGGUGGAGCGGUGAAAUGCGUUGAUAUCGACCGGAACUCCGGUGGCGAAGGCGAGGCGCUGGACCCUUUCUGACGCUGAGGCGCGAAAGCCAGGGGAGCAAACGGG
rnacentral:rRNA from 1 species